rnacentral:rRNA from 1 species
AGCGGCGGACGGGUGAGUAACACGUGGGUAACCUGCCCAAGAGACUGGGAUAACACCUGGAAACAGAUGCUAAUACCGGAUAACAACACUAGACGCAUGUCUAGAGUUUGAAAGAUGGUUCUGCUAUCACUCUUGGAUGGACCUGCGGUGCAUUAGCUAGUUGGUAAGGUAACGGCUUACCAAGGCAAUGAUGCAUAGCCGAGUUGAGAGACUGAUCGGCCACAUUGGGACUGAGACACGGCCCAAACUCCUACGGGAGGCAGCAGUAGGGAAUCUUCCACAAUGGACGAAAGUCUGAUGGAGCAACGCCGCGUGAGUGAAGAAGGGUUUCGGCUCGUAAAGCUCUGUUGGUAGUGAAGAAAGAUAGAGGUAGUAACUGGCCUUUAUUUGACGGUAAUUACUUAGAAAGUCACGGCUAACUACGUGCCAGCAGCCGCGGUAAUACGUAGGUGUCAAGCGUUGUCCGGAUUUAUUGGGCGUAAAGCGAGUGCAGGCGGUUCAAUAAGUCUGAUGUGAAAGCCUUCGGCUCAACCGGAGAAUUGCAUCAGAAACUGUUGAACUUGAGUGCAGAAGAGGAGAGUGGAACUCCAUGUGUAGCGGUGGAAUGCGUAGAUAUAUGGAAGAACACCAGUGGCGAAGGCGGCUCUCUGGUCUGCAACUGACGCUGAGGCUCGAAAGCAUGGGUAGCGAACAGGAUUAGAUACCCUGGUAGUCCAUGCCGUAAACGAUGAGUGCUAAGUGU